AGCUCCAAUAGCGUAUAUUAAAGUUGCUGCAGUUAAAAAGCUCGUAGUUGGAUCUCGGGAGUGGGCUGGCGGUCCGCCGCGAGGCGAGCCACCGUCUGACCCGGGUCCCUGCCUCCCGGCGCCCCCCGGAUGCCCUUAGCUGGGUGUCCGACGGGGCCCGGAGCGUUUACUUUGAAAAAAUCAGAGUGUUCAAAGCAGGCCGCAGCACGCCUGAAUGCCGCAGCUAGGAAUAAUGGAAUAGGACUCCGGUUCUAUUUUGUGGGUUUUCGGAACCAGGGCCAUGAUUAAGAGGGACGGCCGGGGGCAUUCGUAUUGCGCCGCUAGAGGUGAAAUUCUUGGACCGGCGCAAGACGGACAAAAGCGAAAGCAUUUGCCAAGAAUGUUUUCA
rnacentral:rRNA from 1 species